GGGUCGGUACCGAAGCGGUCAAACGGACCUGACUGUAAAUCAGGUGGCAUCGCCUUCGGAGGUUCGAAUCCUCCCCGGCCCA
rnacentral:tRNA from 2 species